UACGUAGGGUGCGAGCGUUGUCCGGAAUUAUUGGGCGUAAAGGGCUCGUAGGCGGGUUGUUAAGUCAGGGGUGAAAUCCUGGAGCUCAACUCCAGAACUGCCUUUGAUACUGGCAACCUAGAGACUGGAAGAGGUUAGUGGAAUUCCCAGUGUAGAGGUGAAAUUCGUAGAUAUUCGGAAGAACACCAGUGGCGAAGGCGGCUCACUGGACUGGUAUUGACGCUGAGGUGCGAAAGCGUGGGGAGCAAACAGG
rnacentral:rRNA from 1 species